AUUUCCCUUGUGGUCCAGUGUCCUUCAUUCCCUGGCUGCGGUCCGGUGGGCUCCCUGGCGGUCUUGUGUACAGGGGUGUACUGUGUUUUUCAGGGGUGUACUGUGUAUGUCAGGGAUAUACUGUGUGUCAAGGUGUACUGCGUGUGUCAGGGGUGUACUGUGUGUUUCAGGGGUGUACUGUGUAUUUCAGGGAUAUACUGUGUGUAUCAGGGUUGUACUAUGUAUGUCAGGGAUAUACUGUGUGUCAAGGUGUACUGUGUGUGUCAGGGAUGUACUGUGUGUUUCAGGGGUGUACUGUGUAUGUCAGGGAUAUAGUGUGUGUAUCAGGGUUGUACUGUGUAUGUCAGGGAUAUACUGUGUGUCAAGGUGUACUGUGUGUGUCAGGGAUGUACUGUGUGUUUCAGGGGUGUAUUGUGUAUGUCAGGGAUAUACUGUGUGUGUCAGGGGUGUACUGUGUGUGUCAAUGAUAUUCUGUGUGUCAGGGAUGUACUGUGUGUGUAGUUGAUGCAGUAUGUGUCAGUAAGAGAUCUGGUGUGUGUCCAUAGUGUGCCAGGGAUGUAUUUGGCUUGUCUCCCCACCAGCUGUGAAUAUGAGAAGUGUGGCAGGUGUCUGCUCUGCAUGGGAUGGCAAGGGAGAUCCUUUGAUCUUUCCUGCUGGCCUCAGCCCAUGGCCGUCACGGCCUACCCGAUGGCCAGUCCCAGCCUGACUGUGACUCACUGAGUGCUGAACUGUGAGGGAGCGAUUACUAGGUGUCACGCUCCCCCACUGGACCACCAAGGAGAGGUAAAACCUGCUGGGCCAACAUUAAGUAUGAUACCCAGACUGGAACUGGAACCCAGACUGGAACCCAGUGGAUCAUAGUUCAUAGCCCCCUUUCUUGAAGCCAAGCAGGAGAGCGGCUAAACAGAUCAUCUCACACGCGACACACACACACAUAUACAGCCAGCAAAUAUUACGAGCACACUACAUACAGCUAGCACACACUACACCAUACCUCCCAAAAUUUCAAAUGGACAUUUUAAUCUUUGCACAGGAUUCUUCUCCCCCACAAAAAUUCUCAACAGUUUGAUUUCUUCUUCUGAAAGAUUGAAAACAGACCAAAAUAAUUUUUAUUCACGGUAACACCCUGGUUAAUGCCACCUAGACGUGUCAUUCUCUG